AUAGAGAAAAAAAAGGAACGCCUGGCUGCAAUCAGGGAAGAUUUAUUAACCAUUGCAGCAGAUCAACCCUUUCGAUUCCCUGCCACAUUCACAUUUGUUGUCAGAUCAUUUUCAGUAUUAGAUGGCAUAGGGAAGGGCCUUGAUCCUCUAUUUAACAU